AAAUGCGAUAAGUAAUGUGAAUUGCAGAAUUCAGUGAAUCAUCGAAUCUUUGAACGCACCUUGCGCUCCUUGGUAUUCCUUGGAGCAUGCCUGUUUGAGUAUCAUGAAAUCUUCAAAGUAAAUCUUUUGUUAACUCAAUUGGUUUCUACUUUGGUAUUGGAGGUCUUUGCAGCUUCACACCUGCUCCUCUUUGUUCAUUAGCUGGAUCUCAGUGUUAUGCUUGGUUCCACUCGGCGUGAUAAGUUAUCUAUCGCUGAGGACACUGUAAAAGGUGGCCAAGGUAAAUGCAGAUGAACCGCUUCUAAUAGUCCAUUGACUUGGACAAUACUUUUAUGAUCUGAUCUCAAAUCAGGUAGGACUACCCGCUGAACCUAAGC
rnacentral:misc_RNA from 1 species